GCCUUGCCUCACCAUAGAAAAUCCUACAAGCUACCAAGUGUAAUUUAGGCUAAAAAUCAUGAUAUUUUCAGAAGCUGAGGGGUGAGAGGGUGUGGAAUCCACAGCGGUUUUUCUAUGAAGAAAACCCACCUUCAAGGCACCUGUAUUUAAAACAACAGAGCACAACCCUCACACAUUUGGUAACUUUACAGACACAGAACCAUACAAGAAAAGAACCCAUUAAGACCUUGUUUAAGGCCUUGUCUACAUAAAAAUAACAUCCCAGUAGAAGCGAUGAAGCCUCCUCCUCUGACAGUCACAACUCCAAUAUAGAAGCUAUUAUUUCAAGAGCAAGGUUGUGCACACUGCUAACCAGUUUACUGAGGAAGUAAUGAUACACUACCUGUGUUGCACAUUUUUCACUGUAGCUGGAAAACUAAGGCUAUUCUCUUACAACU